AUGGUGGCUAUGCACAACUGUAAAAAUACCUCCGGGUGUUGUCGUGUUGAUGUGGACGGUGACGGCAGUUUUCGGUUCAAAUUUGUCUACAACCAAAGCAAAAGCAACAUUGGUGCACGCUCUAGGAAGAGCUCACAACUGUGGGAUAGAAUCAGCAUAACUAGUGAUGGGCCGACUGGCUUUCUGCUAUUGUGGCAGAUAAUUGACGAAUCCAACUGCAUUGCUGCCAAGCAAAACAAGACACACUAUGCCUGCAUCUGCAAGUAUGCCGAGUGCCAUGACAGCACAGCCAAUGUCUGUGACGUCAAAGAUGCUGAGUGCAUUGACGGAAGUCGUGGCUACAGCUGCAUUGUGCCAUUCCCAUUUGGCUUAGAAGACGGUUGCUUUGCAACAAAACAGUUCCACCUCAACUGCACAAAUAUGACGUCAUCCGCUGCUGUCAUGUUGGGUUAUGACCAGGUUGUGAACAUAGAUAUUCACGAUGGGACCCUUAAUGUUACCAACACUCAACUACAGUCACUAGGGGGGUACUUUACUGAUGGACUUUUCCUUACACCUUAUGGGUCGCCAUUCUCCUCUAUGCUGUGGGUUGCUGCUAAUCUAAGUUGCGCAGAGGCCCAAAAGAACAUGUCUAGAUAUGCUUGUGUCAGUAUUAACAGCACAUGUAUGGAAGUAAGCAUUGAAAGGCGCUCUGCUGGUUACCGCUGCAAAUGCUCAGAUGGGUUCCAAGGAAAUCCGUACAUCCAAAGUGGUUGUGAAGGUUUCAUUGAAUUGGCUGAUAUAUUAAUGAAUGCCUUCAACCGAACAAAUGUAGAGAAGUCUGCCAUAAUACCAAAGGAAGCUUCAGCUGUACCGAAUGUCCUCUCAAGACUGAGUAUGAUCCAUUAA
rnacentral:rRNA from 1 species